GAGUUUGAUCUUGGCUCAGGAUGAACGCUGGCGGCGUGCUUAACACAUGCAAGUCGAACGAAGCACUUCAUAAAGCUUGCUUUAAGAAGUGACUUAGUGGCGGACGGGUGAGUAACGCGUGGGUAACCUGCCUUACACAGGGGGAUAACAGUUAGAAAUGACUGCUAAUACCGCAUAAAACAGUAGAGUCGCAUGACUCAACUGUCAAAGAUUUAUCGGUGUAAGAUGGACCCGCGUCUGAUUAGCUGGUUGGUGGGUAACGGCCUACCAAGGCGACGAUCAGUAGCCGGCCUGAGAGGGUGAACGGCCACAUUGGGACUGAGACACGGCCCAAACUCCUACGGGAGGCAGCAGUGGGGAAUAUUGGACAAUGGGCGAAAGCCUGAUCCAGCGACGCCGCGUGAGCGAUGAAGUAUUUCGGUAUGUAAAGCUCUAUCAGCA
rnacentral:rRNA from 1 species